CACGACUAACUACACAUGGAUGGUCACUUCCGGUCACUCAGGGAUGGAGCUGGCUUCUCUGACCUUCAUCAGACCCCUGUCUUUCAUCUGCUGAAUCUUUGCUCUGAGACGAAAUGAGCUUUUACAAGAAGAACUAUUUUGAUCCAGCUACUCCAGGGAAAAGGAACACAGUGUCUCCUACCUGCUUGUCCUUAUUACAGAGUGUGAGCACAUAAAAGGGAUUUAAGAUGGCUUACAAAAAUGCACAAUACAGUGUGACAACCUGCCCCAGCAAAGCACAGAAUGAAGGAAGCCGUAAAGGAAGA